rnacentral:rRNA from 1 species
CCUGAGAAACCCCAAAAGAUCGAAUGGGGAGAUUCAUCGUCAGCGUGGCUGGCUUCCGUGCGGUUCGCGAUGGCCGGGACCUCGGUCUCGCGUCACGCGUCCGCUGCGGUAUGUCCGGCUGCGUCGGCGUGCACUUCUCCCCUAGUAGGACGUCGCGACCCGUUGGGUGUCGGACCGAUGGCCGUUUGGUCGCCUGUCCCCGUCGCGUUCACGCGUGCACGGGGCAGACCGAAAUGGUCGAGCGUCCGGCUGCCCGGCGGUAUAGAACGCUAAAGAACGGUAAUGAGCCGCAUUAAGUGCGUUCAGGCUCGUCGGCAGGCUCGUCUCGCCCGGAUUUACGGACCUAGCGCCGUUGCCGGGUGCUUGGCGUGGCUGUUAGUCGGCGAUGUCCUCGGACUGGCUCUAAAAUUCGAAAGGAUUACCGGUCGGCGACGCUACUGCUUUGGGUACUUUC